rnacentral:rRNA from 1 species
UACGAAGGGGGCUAGCGUUGUUCGGAAUUACUGGGCGUAAAGCGCGUGUAGGCGGUUGCCCAAGUCGGGUGUGAAAGCCUUGAGCUCAACUCAAGAAAUGCACUCGAUACUUGGUGACUAGAGGACCGGAGAGGAUAGUGGAAUUCCCAGUGUAGUGGUGAAAUACGUAGAGAUUGGGAAGAACACCAGUGGCGAAGGCGGCUAUCUGGACGGUUUCUGACGCUAAGACGCGAAAGCGUGGGGAGCAAACAGG